rfam:Flavobacteriaceae bacterium TMED208 3367, whole genome shotgun sequence.
UAACCUCUGACGAUGAUCGUGAAUGUUG